GCAUGGAAGAGGAAGAAAGAGAGUUCCUAAGAGCAUUAGGAGUGGGAACACGAAGGAAUGCAGUGCCCUAAUUGGCUUAGCGCAUUCCUGAUGCCUCCCAUUCCUAUGGUUCUUAGGUUCUCCUUCCUCUUCCUUUUGCUA
rnacentral:pre_miRNA from 1 species